UACGUAGGGUGCAAGCGUUAAUCGGAAUUACUGGGCGUAAAGCGUGCGCAGGCGGUUAUGUAAGACAGAUGUGAAAUCCCCGGGCUCAACCUGGGAACUGCAUUUGUGACUGCAUAGCUGGAGUACGGUAGAGGGGGAUGGAAUUCCGCGUGUAGCAGUGAAAUGCGUAGAUAUGCGGAGGAACACCGAUGGCGAAGGCAAUCCCCUGGGCCUGCACUGACGCUCAUGCACGAAAGCGUGGGGAGCAAACGGG
rnacentral:rRNA from 1 species